GCAGCAGCCGCGGGAAUACAGAGGGUGCGAGCGUUAAUCGGAUUUACUGGGCGUAAAGCGUGCGUAGGCGGCUAAUUGAGUCGGAUGUGAAAUCCCCGAGCUUAACUUGGGAAUUGCAUUCGAUACUGGUUAGCUAGAGUGUGGGAGAGGAUGGUAGAAUUCCAGGUGUAGCGGUGAAAUGCGUAGAGAUCUGGAGGAAUACCGAUGGCGAAGGCAGCCAUCUGGCCUAACACUGAAGCUGAGGUACGAAAGCAUGGGGAGCAAACAGGAUUAGAUACCCGGGUAGUCCCUGUCUCUUAUCC
rnacentral:rRNA from 1 species